UAACGCGUAGGAACGUACCUUCUGAUGGGGAAUAACCACGGGAAACUGUGGCUAACACCGCAUAAUGACGUGAGUCUAAAUCCGGCCUCUGUUUACAAGCUGGAGUCAGUUGAGCGGCCUAUGUCCCAUUAGCUAGUUGGUAGGGUAAUGGCCUACCAAGGCGACGAUGGGUAGCUGGUCUGAGAGGAUGAUCAGCCACACUGGGACUGAGAUACGGCCCAG
rnacentral:rRNA from 1 species